UACGGAAGGCAGCAGUGGGGAAUAUUGCACAAUGGGCGCAAGCCUGAUGCAGCCAUGCCGCGUGUAUGAAGAAGGCCUUCGGGUUGUAAAGUACUUUCAGCGGGGAGGAAGGGAGUAAAGUUAAUACCUUUGCUCAUUGACGUUACCCGCAGAAGAAGCACCGGCUAACUCCGUGCCAGCAGCCGCGGUAAUACGGAGGGUGCAAGCGUUAAUCGGAAUUACUGGGCGUAAAGCGCACGCAGGCGGUUUUGUUAAGUCAGAUGUGAAAUCCCCGGGCUCAACCUGGGAACUGCAUCUGAUACUGGCAAGCUUGAGUCUCGUAGAGGGGGUAGAAUUCCAGGUGUAGCGGUGAAAUGCGUAGAGAUCUGGAGGAAUACCGGUGGCGAAGGCGGGCCCCUGGGACGAAGACUGACGCUCAGGGUGCGAAAGCGUGGGGAGCAAACAGGGAUUAGGAUAACC
rnacentral:rRNA from 1 species